GAUGAACGCUGGCGGUGUGCCUAAUACAUGCAAGUCGAGCGAAUGGAUUAAGAGCUUGCUCUUAUGAAGUUAGCGGCGGACGGGUGAGUAACACGUGGGUAACCUGCCCAUAAGACUGGGAAACUCCGGGAAACCGGGGCUAAUACCGGAUAACAUUUUGAACCGCAUGGCUCGAGAUUGACAGGCGGCUUCGGCUGUCACUUAUGGAUGGACCUGGGUCGCAUUAGCUAGUGGGUGAGGUAAUGGCUAACCAAGGCAACGAUGCGUAGCCGACCUGGGAGGGUGAUCGGCCACACUGGGACUGAGACACGGCCCAGACUCCUACGGGAGGCAGCAGUAGGGAAUCUUCCGCAAUGGACGAAAGUCUGACGGAGCAACGCCGCGUGAGUGAUGAAGGCUUUCGGGUCGUAAAACUCUGUUGUUAGGGAAGAACAAGUACUAGUUGAAUAAGCUGACACCUUGACGGUACCUAACCAGAAAGCCACGGCUAACUACGUGCCAGCCGCCGCCGUAA
rnacentral:rRNA from 1 species